rnacentral:rRNA from 1 species
UAAGUUAGAAAGGGCACACGGUGGAUGCCUUGACUCUAGGAGUCGAUGAAGGACGGGACUAACGCCGAUAUGCUUCGGGGAGCUGUAAGUAAGCUUUGAUCCGAAGAUUUCCGAAUGGGGAAACCCACCAUACGUAAUGGUAUGGUAUCCUUAUCUGAAUACAUAGGGUAAGGAAGACAGACCCAGGGAACUGAAACAUCUAAGUACCUGGAGGAAGAGAAAGCAAAUGCGAUUUCCUGAGUAGCGGCGAGCGAAACGGAACAUAGCCCAAACCAAGAGGCUUGCCUCUUGGGGUUGUAGGACAUUCUAUACGGAGUUACAAAGGAACGAGGUAGACGAAGCGACCUGGAAAGGUCCGUCGUAGAGGGUAACAACCCCGUAGUCGAAACUUCGUUCUCUCUUGAAUGUAUCCUGAGUACGGCGGAACACGUGAAAUUCCGUCGGAAUCUGGGAGGACCAUCUCCCAAGGCUAAAUACUCCCUAGUGAUCGAUAGUGAACCAGUACCGUGAGGGAAAGGUGAAAAGCACCCCGGAAGGGGAGUGAAAGAGAUCCUGAAACCGUGUGCCUACAAAUAGUCAGAGCCCGUUAACGGGUGAUGGCGUGCCUUUUGUAGAAUGAACCGGCGAGUUACGAUCCCGUGCGAGGUUAAGCUGAAGAGGCGGAGCCGCAGCGAAAGCGAGUCUGAAUAGGGCGUUUAGUACGUGGUCGUAGACCCGAAACCAGGUGAUCUACCCAUGUCCAGGGUGAAGUUCAGGUAACACUGAAUGGAGGCCCGAACCCACGCACGUUGAAAAGUGCGGGGAUGAGGUGUGGGUAGCGGAGAAAUUCCAAUCGAACCUGGAGAUAGCUGGUUCUCCCCGAAAUAGCUUUAGGGCUAGCCUUAAGUGUAAGAGUCUUGGAGGUAGAGCACUGAUUGGACUAGGGGUCCUCAUCGGAUUACCGAAUUCAGUCAAACUCCGAAUGCCAAUGACUUAUCCUUAGGAGUCAGACUGCGAGUGAUAAGAUCCGUAGUCAAAAGGGAAACAGCCCAGACCGCCAGCUAAGGUCCCAAAGUGUGUAUUAAGUGGAAAAGGAUGUGGAGUUGCUUAGACAACUAGGAUGUUGGCUUAGAAGCAGCCACCAUUUAAAGAGUGCGUAAUAGCUCACUAGUCGAGUGACUCUGCGCCGAAAAUGUACCGGGGCUAAAUACACCACCGAAGCUGCGGAUUGAUACCAAUGGUAUCAGUGGUAGGGGAGCGUUCUAAGGACAGUGAAGUCAGACCGGAAGGACUGGUGGAGUGCUUAGAAGUGAGAAUGCCGGUAUGAGUAGCGAAAGACGGGUGAGAAUCCCGUCCACCGAAUGCCUAAGGUUUCCUGAGGAAGGCUCGUCCGCUCAGGGUUAGUCAGGACCUAAGCCGAGGCCGACAGGCGUAGGCGAUGGACAACAGGUUGAUAUUCCUGUACCACCUCUUUAUCGUUUGAGCAAUGGAGGGACGCAGAAGGAUAGAAGAAGCGUGCGAUUGGUUGUGCACGUCCAAGCAGUUAGGCUGAUAAGUAGGCAAAUCCGCUUAUCGUGAAGGCUGAGCUGUGAUGGGGAAGCUCCUUAUGGAGCGAAGUCUUUGAUUCCCCGCUGCCAAGAAAAGCUUCUAGCGAGAUAAAAGGUGCCUGUACCGCAAACCGACACAGGUAGGCGAGGAGAGAAUCCUAAGGUGUGCGAGAGAACUCUGGUUAAGGAACUCGGCAAAAUGACCCCGUAACUUCGGGAGAAGGGGUGCUUUCUUAACGGAAAGCCGCAGUGAAUAGGCCCAAGCGACUGUUUAGCAAAAACACAGCUCUCUGCGAAGCCGUAAGGCGAAGUAUAGGGGGUGACACCUGCCCGGUGCUGGAAGGUUAAGGAGAGGGGUUAGCGUAAGCGAAGCUCUGAACUGAAGCCCCAGUAAACGGCGGCCGUAACUAUAACGGUCCUAAGGUAGCGAAAUUCCUUGUCGGGUAAGUUCCGACCCGCACGAAAGGUGUAACGAUUUGGGCACUGUCUCAACCAGAGACUCGGUGAAAUUAUAGUACCUGUGAAGAUGCAGGUUACCCGCGACAGGACGGAAAGACCCCGUGGAGCUUUACUGUAGCCUGAUAUUGAAUUUUGGUACAGUUUGUACAGGAUAGGCGGGAGCCUUUGAAACCGGAGCGCUAGCUUCGGUGGAGGCGCUGGUGGGAUACCGCCCUGACUGUAUUGAAAUUCUAACCUACGGGUCUUAUCGACCCGGGAGACAGUGUCAGGUGGGCAGUUUGACUGGGGCGGUCGCCUCCUAAAGUGUAACGGAGGCGCCCAAAGGUUCCCUCAGAAUGGUUGGAAAUCAUUCGUAGAGUGCAAAGGCAUAAGGGAGCUUGACUGCGAGACCUACAAGUCGAGCAGGGACGAAAGUCGGGCUUAGUGAUCCGGUGGUUCCGCAUGGAAGGGCCAUCGCUCAACGGAUAAAAGCUACCCCGGGGAUAACAGGCUUAUCUCCCCCAAGAGUCCACAUCGACGGGGAGGUUUGGCACCUCGAUGUCGGCUCAUCGCAUCCUGGGGCUGUAGUCGGUCCCAAGGGUUGGGCUGUUCGCCCAUUAAAGCGGUACGCGAGCUGGGUUCAGAACGUCGUGAGACAGUUCGGUCCCUAUCCGUCGUGGGCGUAGGAAAUUUGAGAGGAGCUGUCCUUAGUACGAGAGGACCGGGAUGGACGCACCGCUGGUGUACCAGUUGUUCUGCCAAGGGCAUAGCUGGGUAGCUAUGUGCGGAAGGGAUAAGUGCUGAAAGCAUCUAAGCAUGAAGCCCCCCUCAAGAUGAGAUUUCCCAUAGCGUAAGCUAGUAAGAUCCCUGAAAGAUGAUCAGGUUGAUAGGUUCGAGGUGGAAGCAUGGUGACAUGUGGAGCUGACGAAUACUAAUAGAUCGAGGACUUAACCA